rnacentral:rRNA from 1 species
UUCGGCAAUGGACGAAAGUCUGACCGAGCAACGCCGCGUGAGUGAAGAAGGUUUUCGGAUCGUAAAGCUCUGUUGUAAGUCAAGAACGUGUGUGAGAGUGGAAAGUUCACACAGUGACGGUAGCUUACCAGAAAGGGACGGCUAACUACGUGCCAGCAGCCGCGGUAAUACGUAGGUCCCGAGCGUUGUCCGGAUUUAUUGGGCGUAAAGGGAGCGCAGGCGGUCAGGAAAGUCUGGAGUAAAAGGCUAUGGCUCAACCAUAGUGUGCUCUGGAAACUGUCUGACUUGAGUGCAGAAGGGGAGAGUGGAAUUCCAUGUGUAGCGGUGAAAUGCGUAGAUAUAUGGAGGAACACCAGUGGCGAAAGCGGCUCUCUGGUCUGUCACUGACGCUGAGGCUCGAAAGCGUGGGUAGCGAACAGGAUUAGAUACCCUGGUAGUCCACGCCGUAAACGAUGAGUGCUAGGUGUUAGGCCCUUUCCGGGGCUUAGUGCCGGAGCUAACGCAAUAAGCACUCCGCCUGGGGGAGUACGACCGCAAGGUUGAAACUCAAAGGAAUUGACGGGGGCCCGCACAAGCGGUGGAGCAUGUGGUUUAAUUCGAGGCAACGCGAAGAACCU